rnacentral:rRNA from 1 species
UACGUAGGGGGCAAGCGUUGUCCGGAUUUAUUGGGCGUAAAGAGCGUGUAGGCGGUUUGGUAGGUCCGUUGUGAAAACUCGAGGCUCAACCUCGAGACGCCGAUGGAAACCAUCAGACUAGAGUCCGGAAGAGGAGAGUGGAAUUCCUGGUGUAGCGGUGAAAUGCGCAGAUAUCAGGAGGAACACCAAUGGCGAAGGCAGCUCGCUGGGACGGUAUUGACGCUGAGACGCGAAAGCGUGGGGAGCAAACAGG